GACGAACGCGGCGGCGUGCCUAAUACAUGCAAGUAGAACGCACAGGAUGCACCGUAGUUUACUACACCGUAUUCUGUGAGUUGCGAACGGGUGAGUAACGCGUAGGUAACCUGCCUGGUAGCGGGGGAUAACUAUUGGAAACGAUAGCUAAUACCGCAUAAGAACAUUUACUGCAUGGUAGAUGUUUAAAAGGUGCAAAUGCAUCACUACCAGAUGGACCUGCGUUGUAUUAGCUAGUAGGUGAGGUCACGGCUCACCUAGGCGACGAUACAUAGCCGACCUGAGAGGGUGAUCGGCCACACUGGGACUGAGACACGGCCCAGACUCCUACGGGAGGCAGCAGUAGGGAAUCUUCGGCAAUGGGGGGAACCCUGACCGAGCAACGCCGCGUGAGUGAAGAAGGUUUUCGGAUCGUAAAGCUCUGUUGUUAAGGAAGAACGAGUUUGAGAA
rnacentral:rRNA from 1 species